GAUUGCCUCAGUAACGGCGAGUGAAGCGGCAAAAGCUCAAAUUUGAAAUCUGGCUCUUUCAGAGUCCGAGUUGUAAUUUGUAGAGGAUGUUUCGGGCAAGACUUCGGUUUAAGUUCCUUGGAACAGGACGUCAUAGAGGGUGAGAAUCCCGUCUUGAACCGUCUGUCGCGUCCAUGUGAAACUCCUUCGACGAGUCGAGUUGUUUGGGAAUGCAGCUCUAAAUGGGAGGUAAAUUUCUUCUAAAGCUAAAUAUUGGCCAGAGACCGAUAGCGCACAAGUAGAGUGAUCGAAAGAUGAAAAGCACUUUGAAAAGAGAGUUAAACAGUAUGUGAAAUUGUUGAAAGGGAAGCUCUUGCAACCAGACUUGUUUCUAACGGUUCAACCACUGUUCUCAGUGGCCCAUUCCGUUAGUCCAGGCCAGCAUCGGUUCGGGUGGUCAGUUAAAGGCCUUGGGAAUGUAUCUACUCCUUCGGGUGUAGACUUAUAGCCCUCGGUGUAAUGUGACCUACCUGGACCGAGGUACGCGCUUUUUGCUCGGAUGCUGGCGUAAUGGUUGUAAGCGACCCGUCUUGAAACACGGACCAAGGAGUCUAACAUCUAUGCGAGUGUUAGGGUGUCAAACCCUUGCGCGUAAUGAAAGUGAACGGAGGUAGGAACCCGCAAGGGUGCACUAUCGACCGAUCCUGAUGUCUUCGGAUGGAUUUGAGUAAGAGCAUAGCUGUUGGGACCCGAAAGAUGGUGAACUAUGCCUGAAUAGGGUGAAGCCAGAGGAACUCUGGUGGAGGCUCGCAGCGGUUCUGACGUGCAAAUCGAUCGUCAAAUUUGGGUAUAGGGCGAAAGAC
rnacentral:rRNA from 1 species